AAGUCGUAACAAGGUCUCCGUAAGGUGAACCUGCGGAGGAUCAUUAUCUGAGUUAGGAGCAAUCCGACCUCCAACCUUGUGACGCAUCAUGUUGCUUCGGGGCGACCCUGGCCGUUCGCGGCAUUCCCCCCGGAGGUAUCAAAACACUGCAUUCUUACGUCGGAGUAAAAAGUUAAUUUAAUAAAA
rnacentral:misc_RNA from 1 species